GCCAAUACUGAAGAUUUCUCAGAAAAGGCCAGAAAUCUCAAUGUUAGUGUAAAAUCUCUCAAAUUUCCAAGAGGAUUGUGUGGGGCAAAGGUUCUCAGAUCAGCUUGCAGUCUCUUAGCCCAUGUGCAGAGCAGUCAUAGAGGCUAGUGUGCAGUGCCCUACAUGAUAAUUCUUUUUUAUUUUAUUUUAUGCCUUCCUCCUUCCUGUCUCUCUUUAACCUUUCUUCUUCCCUCAGCCUCCUCCGACCAAAGCCUGGGCUCAAUGAACAUUCAGUAAAGGAACACGGAAUGUCAACUGCAGUUGCACUAGAGACAACCUUGAGACACAUUCCUCUUGUGAAGUCAGCUGUGUUUUCUGCUGAGUCUCCAUAGGAACGUCAGUCCUGAAUCCUCAGACCACCACCUGGAGUAGUAAGUGCUCCUGACCAUCCUAGAAGGCGUCUACUGCUGGAUCUCCAAAGCAUGUGACACACCGUAAGAGAGAAAUGAGAAUGCUGAGCUCUUCAGGUAAAGCCUGCUUUUUCACAAGCCCCCUAAUUUUACAACAUAA
rnacentral:lncRNA from 1 species